UACGAAGGGGGCUGAGCGUUGUUCGGAUUUACUGGGCGUAAAGCGCACGUAGGCGGAUCGUUAAGUCGGGGGUAAAAUCCUGGAGCUCAACUCCAGAACUGCCUUCGAUACUGGCGAUCUUGAGUCCGGAAGAGGUGAGUGGAACUCCUAGUGUAGAGGUGGAAUUCGUAGAUAUUAGGAAGAACACCAGUGGCGAAGGCGGCUCACUGGUCCGGUACUGACGCUGAGGUGCGAAAGCGUGGGGAGCAAACAGG
rnacentral:rRNA from 1 species